CGUGCCCUCUUUGAUUCGACAAACGCCGGUUAGUUCCACUAGUGUUCUUUUCGUGUGGUGUGUCUUGUGGUGACGUGUCGCGGUAUAGCAGCUGCCUCUUCUCUACCAGUUCAUCACGGGCCUUCCAGUCGACGUGUUUGAAAGCUACAACCAGGCGUGCGGUGAUGAUCGGCCAUCCGUGUAUGAGGUCGAGAUGCGCGUGAGGCGCUGUCCAGCCACACGACCAGUGGCGCCGACUCGAAGAACUGCGAGCAGAGUUGCAGCAGGAGUAUCGCUUGCGGAGAGAGGUGUUGAUCAAGCGGUUGGAUGUAGCGAUCCAGUCAUUUCAGGUCAGUUCACAUUAUUAAAGAGAUAAGUAGAGACCGGAAAAAUUCGCGGAUUCGUUUCGUGAUAGGCUGAAAUUCAAACAUGUGUACAACUCUGCUGGUUCUGCUAUUGGCUCGCAGUUUAACUGGAACUGUCUGGGCCAAUAAGAGACUAUCGACCAAAGAAGCGUCGAAUCACAAGCUACCCAGUGGAGACGCCUCACAAUUUAGUACCCAAUGAACACGCGUGUUUACUUGAGAAAUGCAGAGGAUAAUGGAGGCUAUACUAGAGGUCAUUGAAUCCGCGAAUUUUUCCUGUCCCUAGAGAUAAGUCUUUGCCAUGUCUUAAAACUACUAGUUAUAUAAAUUUUUUUUGUGUACAGUUAUAACUUAGCUGUAGUUUACUCAUGUCCUAAAUUCAGAGAUAUUGAAACACACAGCCAGCAGAGAAGAUAUAACCUGGGUGAAACAUGGACAAAACUUAUGGAAAAAUUAAAAACGAACACCACUUGGCUGUAGCUCUGAUUAGCCAAUAGCAAUAGCCAAUGGGACGAUACCAUGCAUGAUUGGCCAACACAGAAUCCAGUGGCAGGAGAGCCCUCCUCUGGGUGAAAACUAUAGCCAAUUGGAGGUGGUCUUUCGUGAUUGGUUACCUUAAUAAGACCCUUGGCAAAUAUAUACAUAUAUACACCUAGCACCUAACAGCCCUCAGUAUUUCUUCCACCCUGAAGAUCCCUCCUACAAUUCAGAGCGAAACGUCUGUACACAAUUAUACUGUGAUGCGGUUCAACCUGAAUGUCAAGAUAGUUUAUAAACUAAUGAUAAUAUACUGCCAUAACAUUCAAAGAAUGACGGACGGUAAAAACAAUCAAUUAUUGGUAACCUUACAUACAAAGAAUUUGGAAUCUAGUUGUCAAAUUAUUACUUUGUAACACUCUACCAGAAAAAUGGAAAUUUUGCAAUAUAUUUGUAUGGAAUAUAUAUAUAUGUGUGUGUGUGUGUGUGUGUGUGUGUGUGUAUGUAUGUAACAAAUAAUACAUUUUUAUAAAAGCAAUUAUUUUAAAAUCUGUAUGGAUGCUGCUGAAGAAAUACUGCAAAAACAGUGUAUUUUAAGCAUAAAAGUGUUCGGAAAUUUACAAUUCUUCAUUUAGCAAUGUUUUCAAACUUAUCAAUGGCAACUAUAUUAUAAAAAAUACUAUUAAACAUUUAAUAGAUAAUUUGCUUCCAUUUUAUAAAAUAAAUUUUCACAGAUUCUUACGAAUUGUAAGGAUGUCUGCUGCUAAAAAGAAAUGAAAGAGUAAGUAAGUAGCUUCGUAUAUAAAUGUUAAGAUUGCCUGAAUUUUAAAAUUAAAUUUGGAAUGUUUUCGAUAUUUUUAAAUAUUUUCAAUAACCUGGUCAAGAUGGCUGACAAGGGAAAAAAUUGAGCGAUUAAGGUAAUCCAAGAUAGCAGUCGGCUAUUGCUUAACUCUCCUACUCCAAGGUCAGAACAGGUCAAACUAUUCUACUUACGGAACAUCAUAAUGCUGUGAAACGAAAUAACACACGUGACUAAUCUUAGAAGCUCUGAAGUGUUAUCUUAUCUGCAAAGCACGUAUUGCCGUUGCAGCACUUUACGGGAACAUCUGCAAAUAAGCAGAACGCUAGCUGUGCUCGAUAAUUCUGCGUGAUGUGAGGACACUAAGGCCGCUAUUCCAAAGACUCAAGUAGUAUAUAUUGGUACAUCCUGGUACAGGAAGUAGGGGAGAGGUGCUGGUGCAGAUGUCCACCAUCUUCUAUUGUGAUGUCACGACGACCAUCUUGGAUGACCUUGACGUUAAAGAUUUUCCAAAAAUUUCGCCCAAAAAAAAA